rnacentral:misc_RNA from 1 species
GAUGAAGAACGCAGCGAAAUGCGAUACGUAGUGUGAAUUGCAGAAUUCAGUGAAUCAUCGAAUCUUUGAACGCACAUUGCACCUCUCGGUAUUCCGGGAGGUAUGCCUGUUCGAGCGUCAUUUGUACCCUCAAGCUCUGCUUGGUGUUGGGUGUUUGUUCCGCCUCUGUGUGUGAACUCGCCUCAAAACAAUUGGCAGCCGGCGUACUUGUUUCGGAGCGCAGCACAUUUUGCGAUCCAGAUCAACGUACAGCGGCAUCCAAGAAGCCUUAUUUAACGCUCUUGACCUCGGAUCAGGUAGGGAUACCCGCUGAACUUAAGCAUAUCAAGAAGCGGAGGA